UGGGGAAUAUUGCGCAAUGGGCGAAAGCCUGACGCAGCGACGCCGCGUGAGGGAUGAAGGUUUUCGGAUCGUAAACCUCUGUCAGAAGGGAAGAAACCGCACUGUGCUAAUCAGCAGUGCCUUGACGGUACCUUCAAAGGAAGCACCGGCUAACUCCGUGCCAGCAGCCGCGGUAAUACGGAGGGUGCAAGCGUUAAUCGGAAUUACUGGGCGUAAAGCGCACGUAGGCUGCUUUGUAGUCAGGGGUGAAAUCCCACGGCUCAACCGUGGAACUGCCUUUGAUACUGCUUAGCUUGAAUCCGGGAGAGGGUGGCGGAAUUCCAGGUGUAGGAGUGAAAUCCGUAGAUAUCUGGAGGAACAUCAGUGGCGAAGGCGGCCACCUGGACCGGUAUUGACGCUGAGGUGCGAAAGCGUGGGGAGCAAACAGG
rnacentral:rRNA from 1 species